ensembl:lncRNA
GAUCCCUGCCUAGUAGAGGCCUUCUAAAGUAGAAUUUACAAGCCAUUACCCAUCACAUCUAGAACAUUACUGGAGCUGUCGAGAUAAAGGAAUCAGCGUAGAAACAUUGUUCCACUGGGAAAUGUAAAAUGGCAUAAAGUUGGUCCCUCAACAAAGAGGUGCUCCAGCCCUCUGAUCGUCUUUGUGACCCUCCUCUGGAUCCAUUCCAAUAGCUUCAACAGCUUCCAUAGAAGGGGUGCGAACAGUGGACUGUUGAUUAUCUACUCAGUCACUGGCUGUCUCCUUGGCUCUACCAUGGACCUUCCUGACUGUCUCUAUCACCCAGAAUUUGGAACAGUUCCAGGACGGUAUUCUCCAAGGACAAUAGCUUAGAGGCUGUGUAAGCAAGCCUCCUCGCUCCUUCCUCCUUUCCUCAUAAACAG